rnacentral:rRNA from 1 species
AUGUUCCCCAUGUUCCAGGAGCUUGCACCACAUGACACAGACGACAAGUGUGGUCACCACUAUGCGAUCUGUCUUGACCUGAAGAACCAACAUUUUGAGGUGCUUGAUUCAAUCUGUUCGGAAGCUGAUGUAGACCUUACUACGCAUGCCGAAUUCUUCAUCAACAACCUCAAAGAGACAUGGAACCGUCACUAG